AUUGAACGCUGGCGGCAGGCCUAACACAUGCAAGUCGAACGGUAACAGGAAGCAGCUUGCUGCUUUUCUGACGAGUGGCGGACGGGUGAGUAAUGUCUGGGAAACUGCCCGAUGGAGGGGGAUAACUACUGGAAACGGUAGCUAAUACCGCAUAACGUCGCAAGCCCAAAGAGGGGGACCUUAGGGCCUCUUGCCAUCGGAUGUGCCCAGAUGGGAUUAGCUAGUAGGUGGGGUAACGGCUCACCUAGGCGACGAUCCCUAGCUGGUCUGAGAGGAUGACCAGCGACACUGGAACUGAGACACGGUCCAGACUCCUACGGGAGGCAGCAGUGGGGAAUAUUGCACAAUGGGCGCAAGCCUGAUGCAGCCAUGCCGCGUGUAUGAAGAAGGCCUUCGGGUUGUAAAGUACUUUCAGCGGGGAGGAAGGGAGUAAAGUUAAUACCUUUGCUCAUUGACGUUACCCGCAGAAGAAGCACCGGCUAACUCCGUG
rnacentral:rRNA from 1 species